rnacentral:rRNA from 1 species
UACGUAGGGUGCGAGCGUUAAUCGGAAUUACUGGGCGUAAAGCGUGCGCAGGCGGUUCGUUGUGUCGGUGGUGAAAUCCCCGGGCUUAACCUGGGAAUGGCCAUGGAAACUGGCGAACUGGAGUGCGGCAGAGGGGGGUGGAAUUCCGCGUGUAGCAGUGAAAUGCGUAGAGAUGCGGAGGAACACCGAUGGCGAAGGCAGCCCCCUGGGCUAGCACUGACGCUCAGGCACGAAAGCCAGGGUAGCAAACGGG